GAUAGCUGGUGCAUUUAACUGUUGUAUAAAAUAAUCUUAUCUGGUAAAGCGAAUGAUUAGAGGCCUUAGGGUCGAAACGAUCUUAACCUAUUCUCAAACUUUAAAUGGGUAAGAACCUUAACUUUCUUGAUAUGAAGUUUAAGGUUAUGAUAUAAUGUGCCCAGUGGGCCACUUUUGGUAAGCAGAACUGGCGCUGUGGGAUGAACCAAACGGAAUGUUGCGGUGCCCAAAUUAACAACUCAUUCAGAAACCAUGAAAGGCGUUGGUUGCUUAAAACAGCAGGACGGUGAUCAUGGAAGUCGAAAUCCGCUAAGGAGUGUGUAACAACUCACCUGCCGAAGCAACUAGCCCUUAAAAUGGAUGGCGCUUAAGUUGUAUACCUAUACAUUACCGCUAAAGUAACAUAGAUGAUUUAUAUUACUUGUAAUAUAAAUUUUGAAACUUUAGUGAGUAGGAAGGUACAAUGGUGUGCUUAGAAGUAUUUGGCGUAAGCCUACAUGGAGCCGUCAUUGGUACAGAUCUUGGUGGUAGUAGCAAAUAAUCGAUUGAGACCUUGGAGGACUGAAUCGAAAUCCGCAAAUAAUCGAAUGAGACCUUGGAGGACUGAAGUGGAGAAGGGUUUCGUGUGAGCAGUGGUUGAUUACGAGUUAGUCGGUCCUAAGUUCAAUGCGAAAGCCGAAAAUUUACAAGUAAAAAAAUGUAACUAAAA